GCAUUGUUACAGGUUCUGCUCCAGAAUUAUACACCAGGGAACAAGAUGGACAAACCCUGUUCUCACAGAGCUGACUUGCAGGUGACAUUGCUCAGGACAAGGACGAGAGAAAGAACAAAUCACGGUCGGAGAGGAGGAAGCUACCUUGUUUUUCAGUUUGAAGUUCAGGGCAGAGAAAACCAGGUGGAUGGAAGGGCUGCCAGUCAUCCCGUUGCCCUGCCCCCUUCACCUGUACACAAAGGAAGGAGGAAAAGAAGGAACGUGCAAGGAACUCAGAGCUGAAAUCUCCAAAAGGAAUCAAGAAUAUCAGUGUUGGAGCGUCGUAUAGAUCAUCUCCUGUCCCACUGGUUGCCCCCCUACUAUGGUGGAUACCCCCAGGGAUGCUCUUCCCAAGGGGACCCCUCUGCCAUCACAAUUACUAAAUGAAGGACCUAAGUGGCAGGAAAACUUAGUCUGGGUUAUUUCAGUGGAAUCCUGGUAGGUGACACCAAUUCUAUUAAUAAAAUUCUUGGAACGAGAAG
rnacentral:lncRNA from 1 species